CCCCUAACUGCGAGUGAAGCGGGAUGAGCUCAAAUUUAAAAUCUGGCGGUCCUUGUGGCCGUCCGAGUUGUAGUCUGGAGAAGUGUUAUCCGCGUCGGACCGUGUACAAGUCUCCUGGAAUGGAGCGUCAUAGAGGGUGAGAAUCCCGUCCAUGACACGGACGCCCGAUGCUUUGUGAGGCACUCUCGAAGAGUCGAGUUGUUUGGGAAUGCAGCUCAAAAUGGGUGGUAAAUUCCAUCUAAAGCUAAAUAUUGGCGAGAGACCGAUAGCGAACAAGUACCGUGAGGGAAAGAUGAAAAGCACUUUGGAAAGAGAGUUAAAUAGUACGUGAAAUUGUUGAAAGGGAAACGCUUGAAGUCAGUCGCGUCCCGUGGAACUCAGCCUGGCUUCGGCCUGGUGUACUUUCUAUGCGGACGGGUCAACAUCAGUUUUGGCCGGCGGAAAAGGGCAGAGGGAAUGUAGCGCCGCUUCGGUGGCGUGUUAUAGCCCUUUGUCAAAUACGCUGGCGGGGACUGAGGACUGCAGCACGCCCUUGUGGCCGGGGGUUCGCCCCACGGUAACGGUGCUUAGGAUGUUGGCAUAAUGGCUUUAAGCGACCCGUCUUGAAACACGGGACCAAGGAGUCCAACAUGCUUGCGAGUGUUCGGGUGGUAAACCCUUGCGCGUAAUGAAAGUGAAAGUUGGGAGCCUCCGAAAGGGGGUGCACCGACGCCCGGCCCUGAAGUUCUCUGACGGUGCUGCGGUAGAGCAAGUAUGCUGGGACCCGAAAGAUGGUGAACUAUGCCUGAAUAGGGCGAAGCCAGAGGAAACUCUGGUGGAGGCUCGUAGCGAUUCUGACGUGCAAAUCGAUCGUCAAAUUUGGGUAUAGGGGCGAAAG
rnacentral:rRNA from 1 species